UUGCUGCGGCGUGCCUAAUACAUGCAAGUCGAACGAACUCUGGUAUUGAUUGGUGCUUGCAUCAUGAUUUACAUUUGAGUGAGUGGCGAACUGGUGAGUAACACGUGGGAAACCUGCCCAGAAGCGGGGGAUAACACCUGGAAACAGAUGCUAAUACCGCAUAACAACUUGGACCGCAUGGUCCGAGUUUGAAAGAUGGCUUCGGCUAUCACUUUUGGAUGGUCCCGCGGCGUAUUAGCUAGAUGGUGAGGUAACGGCUCACCAUGGCAAUGAUACGUAGCCGACCUGAGAGGGUAAUCGGCCACAUUGGGACUGAGACACGGCCCAAACUCCUACGGGAGGCAGCAGUAGGGAAUCUUCCACAAUGGACGAAAGUCUGAUGGAGCAACGCCGCGUGAGUGAAGAAGGGUUUCGGCUCGUAAAACUCUGUUGUUAAAGAAGAACAUAUCUGAGAGUAACUGUUCAGGUAUUGACGGUAUUUAACGCCCCUUGUCGGAUUUAUUGGGCGUAAGCGAGCGCAGGCGGUUUUUUAAGUCUGAUGUGAAAGCCUUCGGCUCAACCGAAGAAGUGCAUCGGAAACUGGGAAACUUGAGUGCAGAAGAGGACAGUGGAACUCCAUGUGUAGCGGUGAAAUGCGUAGAUAUAUGGAAGAACACCAGUGGCGAAGGCGGCUGUCUGGUCUGUAACUGACGCUGAGGCUCGAAAGUAUGGGUAGCAAACAGGAUUAGAUACCCUGGUAGUCCAUACCGUAAACGAUGAAUGCUAAGUGUUGGAGGGUUUCCGCCCUUCAGUGCUGCAGCUAACGCAUUAAGCAUUCCGCCUGGGGAGUACGGCCGCAAGGCUGAAACUCAAAGGAAUUGACGGGGGCCCGCACAAGCGGUGGAGCAUGUGGUUUAAUUCGAAGCUACGCGAAGAACCUUACCAGGUCUUGACAUACUAUGCAAAUCUAAGAGAUUAGACGUUCCCUUCGGGGACAUGGAUACAGGUGGUGCAUGGUUGUCGUCAGCUCGUGUCGUGAGAUGUUGGGUUAAGUCCCGCAACGAGCGCAACCCUUAUUAUCAGUUGCCAGCAUUAAGUUGGGCACUCUGGUGAGACUGCCGGUGACAAACCGGAGGAAGGUGGGGAUGACGUCAAAUCAUCAUGCCCCUUAUGACCUGGGCUACACACGUGCUACAAUGGAUGGUACAACGACUUGCGAACUCGCCAGAGUAAGCUAAUCUCUUAAAGCCAUUCUCAGUUCGGAUUGUAGGCUGCAACUCGCCUACAUGAAGUCGGAAUCGCUAGUAAUCUCGGAUCAGCAUGCCGCGGUGAAUACGUUCCCGGGCCUUGUACACAUCGUCCGUCGCGCCAUGAGAGUUUGUAUCACCCCUAAAUCGGUGGGCGUGACCUCUUAUGAACCCACCCUCCUUACGUGAGAACGCAUGAUUACGGGUGUAUUUCCUACCGCCGGCAGGCC
rnacentral:rRNA from 1 species